rnacentral:rRNA from 1 species
CCCGCUGAACUUAAGCAUAUCAAUAAGCGGAGGGAAAGAAACUAACAAGGAUUCCCCUAGUAACUGCGAGUGAAGCGGGAAAAGCUCAAAUUUAAAAUCUGGUGGCCUUUGGCCAUCCGAGUUGUAAUUUAGAGAAGCGUCUUCCGCGCUGGACCGUGCACAAGUCUCCUGGAAUGGAGCGUCGUAGAGGGUGAGAAUCCCGUCUUUGGCACGGACGCCCAGUGCUUCUGUGAUGCGCUCUCGAAGAGUCGAGUUGUUUGGGAAUGCAGCUCAAAAUGGGUGGUGAACUCCAUCUAAAGCUAAAUAUUGGCGAGAGACCGAUAGCGAACAAGUACCGUGAGGGAAAGAUGAAAAGAACUUUGGAAAGAGAGUUAAACAGUACGUGAAAUUGUUGAAAGGGAAACGCUUGAAGUCAGUCGCGUUGGUCAGAAAUCAGCCUUACUUUUGUUUGGUGUACUUUCUGGUUGACGGGUCAGUAUCAGUUUUGACUGUUGGAUAAAGAUUAGAGGAAUGUGGCAUCUUCGGAUGUGUUAUAGCCUUUAGUUGUAUACAACAGUUGGGACUGAGGAACUCAGCACGCCGCAAGGCCGGGUCUUUGACCACGUCCGUGCUUAGGAUACUGGCAUAAUGGCUUUAAUCGACCCGUCUUGAAACACGG